UUCAAAUAUAGCUCAAAUAUUGCCCCUUGGGUCAAAACUGACAUCCCGGAGUUUACAUGGUUUAUAUGAACUUCAAGGAAAAAAUAAUUAUUAUCUGUCUAUCUUUAAAACUUUACUCAGGUUAGAGAUCUUGAGAAAUAUUAAUAUGCAUGCAGUUGUGGAGCCUCUAUUUAUGGAUAACUUCCAACGCAAUUUGCGAAACACUAAUACAUUAACAUACAUGUGAAUGACUUAAUAUCAAGUGCACUGCAUUUCCAAAACGAACAAUUGUCAUAAAAUACAUGAUUAUAGAGAUAUAGAUUUAUUCACAAAGUAUUUGCGCGAUACCGUGCACACAAUUUUCCGAUGCAUUUCCAUGUCAAUGUGUUUGACCAA